GCCUUAACUGGCUAAUGACUAGGAAACUUGUCAAUAUUAGUUUUCUUCUGAAUCAAUUCUUCUGAUCUGGCUGUAGAUGGAACCCAUCUUUCUACAUUAUAAAUUAUGCCUUAUUGUAAAAUCUACAACAGAAGGUACAGACAUUUAAAGCCAUGUAAUCUGUUCCUCUGACAGUAAAGGCCAGUUCUGUAAUGCUGUCUUUGGUAUUGCAACCUUUGAAAAUAAGAAACCCAAUUCACUAACAUGUAGAGUAAUUCUCAAGAGGGUUUAUUUUCUGAACCCGUAGAUUUACUAAUCAAAUAAAUUGCUACUCUUAGUUAAGUUUCCUGAUCCUACCCAUUGCUGUAUUUGACCAUUUUGAAUGUCAGCUCUGUGAAGACGGGGAUUUAUCUAUCUUGUCUCCAGUGUCUAGCCCAGCUUUGAGUAAGGCAGGUUUCCUAAAGAACAAAGGAUCUAUAUCAAAUCCUGAUUAACUUGGGACUUUUCAGACCAAGUUCUACUUCCAGCUGUACCAUUGUUUGAAUUCAUUUGGGGCCAGAAGUGUCAUUUCACAGUUAAGAUCUAAGGGAAAAAGGGUGCUGGUAAUUGUGGAGAUCUCAGUCAACGCAAUACUGUUAAUGGGAAAGCAGGAAAUGUUGCAGUUGGGAUGAAGGGCAGCACCAGGCAAAAAUGAGGCGGGGGUUCUUGUUUACCCUGCACUAUUUGUGCAAGAAGAAAAUGAAAGGCUGCUUCUGGGAUUCUACCAACAAGCAGAUGUCAGUGGGCACCAAGAAGCUCCCCACCUGUUUGCUGGCAUCAAAUCUUUGCAGUUUUCUCCUUGUUUAAGGACUUAAUUGUUAAGGAACGAGUUGACAUCUGCUAUAAUUUUACAAGCAGAAUAUGAAGAAAAAAAUAACAGAAGAAAUGUUGAAAAAGUCUCUGAAGAUGAAAAGUGGACAGCAGGAUGGCCAUUGACUUGGUAGAGCAGAGGAAGUUUCCACCUGAAUCUGUACACAGGAUUCAUGAAGCAAGUUGCCAGUUGACACAGAAUCCUAGAAAGAUGUGAGACUCAGAGGAAGUUUGCUACAAGAAGGACAAGAACAAGGAUAUAUGGAUGAAGUUAAUUAAGUGAAAAUCGGGUCACUGUGGACUUUUAUAAAAAUGAUGUAUCUUUAUAAAAACAAUGUAAUUUUCUUCUGCUUGGUAUAGUUAUAAUUCUAAUAUCACAGGCAUCAUAGACUUUAAAAAAGGACAGGUACAUUUAUUUUGGGGCAGUGCUCUGACAUUUAAAAUGAUAGAAAACAUGUCAAUUUCUAAAAUGAAAAAACUUUUAUAAAAAUGCAAAUGAAAAAUUAUUUCAGCUUCCUAAAUCCAGAAUAAAAAAA